AGUAUUCAACGGGCGAAACUGCCACAACAAACAUCCUGCAGACUACGCUGAGGAAAAGAUGGUUGCAAUAUACUGGGAUAUCAACCCAAACCAACCACUGAGUAGGAAAAUAAAUCCUGUUCUGCUGAAGAGAAAUAAGCACUCUGAUGGAGAGAUAGCAACAAUUCCACAGACGACUUCGCCGGGGAAAAGGUAAAGUACCGGGUAUCAAACCACUGACUUACCGGAUCUUCAAAAAGAAAGCGAUCAUGCUGAGGAAACAGACAGUUCCGCUGGCACACUGCAUGGGGAAAAGCGGUAACAACUCCACUUGCAACCCUGGUGGGGAUAUAAAUAACAGCUUUACUCGCGACUCCGAGGGGAGUAUCAAUCAAUCAACCAUACUCAUGACUGCGCUGAAGAGACAAAUAAAGUCUGGGGCAUACAACCCGCUGGAGAAAGUGACGGGGCACCAAAGAUGACAAACCAUCAACCGCCGAAACUUCUCAAGAAAAACACCCAUGCUGGGGGAAAAACUGCUGCUGGAGAGAACGAAGUCUUCAACAACACUUACUUGCAACCGUACUGGGGAACAGCCCCAACAACAACUUUGUUCGAGGAACAGCCUCAACAAAGAUCUGAAGAAAGAAGAUACCACCAAACCAGGAAUAUGAACGAAUGUCUUACCUGUUGGGAAUCAUGCCACCCUC
rnacentral:lncRNA from 1 species